rfam:Trichobilharzia regenti genome assembly, scaffold: TRE_scaffold0001691
AUCCAGAUGACGAUUCCAAAAUAGGACGAAAUGCGCAUCCUAGAU